UACGUAGGGUGCGAGCGUUAAUCGGAAUUACUGGGCGUAAAGGCGUGCGCAGGCGGUUUGUUAAGACAGAUGUGAAAUCCCCGGGCUUAACCCUGGGAACUGGCAUUUGUGACUGGCAAGCUAGAGUAUGGCAGAGGGGGGGUAGAAGUUCCACGUGUAGCAGUGAAAUGACGUAGAGAUGUGGAGGAAUACCGAUGGCGAAGGCAGCCCCCUGGGCCCAAUGAC
rnacentral:rRNA from 1 species